GACGUAGGUGGCGAACGUUAUCCGGAAUUAUUGGGCGUAAAGGGUGCGUAGCUGGCCUGAUAAGUUAACAGUGGUAAAUCGAGGCUCAACCUCGUGGAAACUGAUAAUACUGUCUGGCUCGAGUACAGAAGAGGUUAACGGAAUUCCAUGUGGAGCGGUAAAAUGCAUAGAUAUAUGGAAGAACACCAAUAACGGCGAAGGCAGUUAACUAUUCUGUUACUGACAUUGAGGCACGAAAGCGUGGGGAGCGAACAGG
rnacentral:rRNA from 1 species